rnacentral:tRNA from 1 species
AAAAAGAUUUAAGUUAUAAGACUAAAAGCCUUCAAAGCUUAAAGCAGGAGUUUAAAUCUCCUAAUCUUUGAU